rnacentral:rRNA from 1 species
GUACUGUGCGAACGUUAUUCGGAAUCACUGGGCUUAAAGGGUGCGUAGGCGGCUGGAUAAGUAGGGUGUGAAAUCCCUCGGCUCAACCGAGGAACUGCGCUCUAAACUGUCCGGCUUGAGUGAGAUAGGGGUGUGCGGAACUUCCAGUGGAGCGGUGAAAUGUGUUGAUAUUGGAAGGAACGCCGGUGGCGAAAGCGGCACACUGGGUCUCAACUGACGCUGAGGCACGAAAGCCAGGGUAGCGAACGGGGGAUUAGAUACCCCGGUAGUCCUGGCCGUAAACGUUGAGCACUAGUUGGGAGGGUUUCGGCCCUCUUCGAACGUAGCGAAAGCAUUAAGUGCUCCGCCUGGGGAGUAUGGUCGCAAGGCUG